CUAUUACAAAAUUUGUAAUGGUUUUAAUGGUUAUAAUGGGAAUUAUGUUGGUUGUAAUGGUCACAGUAAUGGUCCCUGUGGGUCUCUAUUGGUAAAUUGCUUUCUUCUAUUGGUGGUAUGUAUUGUCUUGGAUUGCCACCAUACGUCAUUUGGAAAGGUUAUUUUUAAUUCAUUUAAUUUUUUUUUUUUUUUUUUUUUUUUUUAAAUCAACUCGACUCGUCAUGGCCUUCAAAAUUGACUUGAAAAGUUGGUCUUUGUUUUGUCUGUCGGAUUUGGUCCAAAUUUAGCCCAAAAAUAGAUGUGAAAUAACAGUGAAAUUCUGCGUGACUUCCACGUGCUGUAAUGUGCGCGCGCGCAGAACUGGAGCGGAGGACGUCACCAUGGAAACGAGGCGGCAGCCCAACCGUCAAGCAGCUGAUCGCUGACACUCAAUGUGGUUUCACUUUUUUUUUAGAAAUGGUUUAGCGUCGUCAGAAAAAGUCCGUUAGCAUCUCAAAGGUAAGGCUAAAUACAAGAGGUAACGAUAGACAUGAGCUCUUGUUUAUUAAGUUUGGGCUUUUAAUGUCAUCUUGUGUGUAGAUGAGCUCGCUCUCUCUCUCUCUCUCUCUCUCUCUCUCUCUCUCUCUCUCUCUCUCUCUCUCUCUCCAUAUAUAUCAAUGGAUGAAUGGAAGUAACUUAACCGAAUUAAUUUAACCCUAAAUGUAUCCACUGUUUAAUCCUAAAAUGUGCACUAACGUAACCGGAUAACGUUACAUCACUUACAUAGAUCGUGAAAAUGGACUGAAACCUUCAGGUUUUGAUCUUUCAUGGUAAACACAUAAAUACAAACUUGUUCUGUGAUUUCAGAAGUGCCAGAAAAAAAACCUCUAUGACACAGGAGAAGUUCCUGAUUUUAACAUUUCUGAAGGGAGCUGCUGACAGAGAGGAUGAAAACAUACACAUUUUGAUGUCCACGCUGUAGGAGCAUUACUAAAUAAUGCUUAUGUUCCUAGGUUCUUCCAUGCUGAUGGCUGUGCUCUAGAGUCAUAUCUCCUGUCGAAGAACAUUUUUAGACAUUAUGAACCAUGAAUAGUAAGCAAUUCGUCAAACAUAC